rnacentral:misc_RNA from 1 species
CACCCCUUGGAUACUCUCAUACCCAUGACUGCUUUCAAACCCUUCCAAGAAAAAAUUAUGGGUUGGCUUGAAUUCUUGCAAAGAAAACUCAGUUGAGUAAACUGUAUUUGAAUCAACUACAGGCAUCGAGAUGAAAGAAUCCAAUCCCCUUGUACUCAUACCAGUCUUGAGAAGCUCCAUGGCUGAUACAUGAUGAGAUGGUGUUAAUGAUGAAGAAGAGCUGGGUUUUAGAUUGUGGGUUUUGCUUCCGCUGGUAUAAGGUACCUCAACAAACUUAGAAAUAUUACCAUGAUCUUCAGUUGAAGGGGGAUAAGCUAGGUUGAGAUCUCUGCCUUGAUAGAUCUUAGGGUUUUGAUGAGAAAGUUGUGGGUUGGUGAGAUCAGGAAGCAAUUUCUUUGAUGAAGAUGAAGAAGUUGAUGACGAUGAUGAUGAUCUCUUGUUCUUUCUUGAACCUCCACCUACAGGAACAUUUCUUAGAGAACCACCUUCAGUCCAGUACCUUCUACAAGUUUUGCAGAAGUAUCUUGGCUGAGAGAGACUAUAAUUGUUGUAGUAACAGAAUUUUGUGUUGGUUGAAUUGCACCUUGGGCAAUUCAAAGCUUGAUCCUUUUGAGGC